AUGGGCUCCAGGCUCCUCUGCUGGGUGGCCCUUGGUCUCCUGGGAGCAGGCCCUGCGGAUGCUGAGGUCACUCAAAGCCCCAGACACCUGGUCACAGCAAGGGGUCAGCCAGUGACCCUGAGAUGCAACUAUGAAUCUGGACACAGCUCAGUGUACUGGUACCAACAAAUGCUGGACCAGGGCCCACAAUUCCUUGUUCAGUAUUACAAUGGGAAAGAGUAUCAAAAAGGCAGCAUCCCUGCGCACUUCUCAGUCCAACAGUUCAAGGACAGCUCCAGCUCUGAGCUGAGUGUGAGCUCCGUGGAAGGGGCCGACUCUGCCCUGUACCUCUGUGCCAGCAGCCUCACAGCCCCGCCUGCUCAGCUGCCUCCUGCACAAAAACAGCCCUGGCCAGCCCAGGAAGUGGCAGCAAGGGAGGCUGCCAGCCAGCAGGGCCCAGACUAUAAGGACAUUCCCUUUAUGACGGUAUUUGGGAUAGGUUGA